GCGAGAAGGCAGUGCAGGUGUGCGAGUUACUUUAAGGGUUUGAAAAACCUGGCAAUGAAUUAUUCUGGCUGAAUUCUGUCGCUUAUCAAGCAAAAAUCUGAGUUGCAAUCUGAGUUCUUCAAAGAUCUCGACAAAUACACUCCUCGCUUCCUGGAGAAGUUCAAGACCCAGAGGGGGAAAGUGUCGGACAGAAACUUGAAUAUCUGCAACAAGUCACACCUGGGAGUACAGAUGUGACUGGGAGGUGAACAGCAGUCCUCCGUGGCUCUCCCGUCAUCCUUGGAGAUGACAACGCAGACUUCUUCAAGAAUUUGUGUGAGUUUAGGAUGGCGUGAAGCUUCGACUUGACCCUAUGGAAACACAGCAGAUGCCACCAAAGGGUCCUGAUCGGGGUGUGUUGUGAUGCAACUGCAUCGACCUGUUCUCAGGCCCUUCUACAUUCUGUUGUUUACAUUUGCUCUAUUAUUGUUGUUCCAUUCAAAUAUCAUCCCUAUUUGUAAAUAUGAUAAUUCAUAUUCUUUAUUAUUAGCUUUUGCAAUCAUUCAGUGAAUCACAUGAUCAAUGAAUUAAUCAUCGCACUCACUCCUGAGCAUCUUUCACUUGAUUAUCUAAUAAUAUCAGAAUCCAGGUAA